UUUCAGUGCAAUGUGUAAUACAAUAAUGCUCUGGGCUCCCCGGCCAUCCUGAAAGUCGAUCCUCUGAUGAAACAAACCAUUAGGCAGCCACACUCCAGCCCAGCCACUGAGAGGAAAUCGAAGAGAAGAGUUCCCUGGCCGGGCCAGGCAGGACAGCCUAUCAGCUCCUGGUCACUGUCACUGAUCAUCCCAGCCCAGGCUGCGGCUCUUCUCCCCGCAUGGCAUGACGACGCCAUCACCCUCAUAGUUACCAAAGUGUUAGAAUAGUCGUGACCACUAAAAAAGGGAGAAAGAGGGCUGGAGAGAAACGACUGCAACGAGAGCAAAAAGGAAAAACAGUAAAGACGUUAGAGACAUUCAUUUUGGAAACACCCUCACGUUACAGAGCACCCAACGAAUACUAUGAAAAGUGGUCAUUAUCAGCCCGGCAAACACUGCUGUGCCGUCUUGCUUGCGAGGAAUGCUGCUGCAUGGGUUUCAAGACAAGAAUCCAGGCUGAAUCAGCAGUGCGGUUUCAACAGUGAUGAGAACAAGUAACUAAGAUCUCUUCUUCCCUUAUUGCUGCAGAAGAGCAAUUAAGGCUGCAUAUUUAGAGAUGAUAUCAGCCAGGAAUCCUGCACAGAGAGAAAAACUCGUUGCAUUUUUUUCUUUCUUCCUUUCCCCGUUCCCUUUUCUGUCCAAAGGAAACCCACAGCAAACUGCGUAAAUGCCGCAGGCACGCAAGCCGACUCCAAACCGCCUACCAAGGGUCAGCUCUACCUGCAGCUGUUGCACAAAAUAAAAUCAACGCAGCCCACCCCAGGCAAACACCCUCUGUGGCUCUUUAUUACCAAAUGAUAUGAACUUUGACCCAACCUGAACAAAAUUUAAUAUUUUCUCCCAAAUAUUUAAAAAAUUCAUUCUGGGGCUUGAGUGGAGUCAGGGAGUCUGCGAGCCGUAAUUUGACAUCUGAAUUAUUCUGAGGCUAAUACGGAAAGCUAUUCAGGAGCUUAUUUGGAGAUGUGUCAAUCAAGAUAUCACUUGUACAGGGAAGAUGGACUCAGGCUUAGGAGUGCAGAUAGCUUUCAGGGAAUCACAAAAUAAAAACCAGGCAGGCUCUGAUGAAUACGUUACGUCUUCAUUCUUGAUGAUGACAUUUUUUUUUUCUUGAUAGAGAGUACAGACCUAACAGAGCGAUGUCUCAGGGACGUGCCUUUUUCCACACCUGUGAAAACAUUUUAACGUUUAUUUAAAAUGAUAACCAUAAACAACAAACAUGGUGUCGAAACUCGCCUCUGUUCAUUUUACUGCGCUGAUUAAGAUUUUAAGCAACGCUUCUAAAUUAGACUGUCAGGCAGCCAUCCUCAAUGCAGGGUUGAGGUUCUGAUCUCGAGCUAGCUUGUGUGAACACACGGCCUUUCUGGGUUGAUUGUGAGCCUGGCCAGCAGCCUUCAAUGUUCUUUCAUUCAUUUUCGAUGAGACGGGGAGGGAUUCAAUUAGCCCUGAUUGUCCAUGAGAUGUGGCCCAAAAUAAAACCACUGGGCUCUGAUAGCCUCCUCUCAAGGUAUUUCCCAGCUGACAGGUAACAAUGUUAAUUACCCAUUAUUAUGA
rnacentral:lncRNA from 1 species